rnacentral:rRNA from 1 species
AGCCGGAAUUGCUAGUAAUGGCAGGUCAGCAUACUGCCGUGAAUACGUUCCCGGGCCCUUGUACACACCGCCCGUCACACCAUGAGAGUUGGGAUACCCGAAGCCUGUGAGCUAACAGUAAUGGAGCAGCAGUCGAAGGUAGAAUCAAUGAUUGGGGUGAAGUCGUAACAAGGUAAC